rnacentral:rRNA from 1 species
GAUGAACGCUGGCGGCGUGCCUAAUACAUGCAAGUCGAGCGAACAGACGAGGAGCUUGCUCCUCUGACGUUAGCGGCGGACGGGUGAGUAACACGUGGAUAACCUACCUAUAAGACUGGGAUAACUUCGGGAAACCGGAGCUAAUACCGGAUAAUAUAUUGAACCGCAUGGUUCAAUAGUGAAAGACGGUUUUGCUGUCACUUAUAGAUAGCUCCGCGCCGCAUUAGCUAGUUGGUAAGGUAACGGCUGACCAAGGCGACGAUGCGUAGCCGACCUGAGAGGGUGAUCGGCCACACUGGAACGGAGGCACGGUCCAGACCCCUACGGGAGGCAGCAGUAGGGAAUCUUCCGCAAUGGGCGAAAGCCUGACGGAGCAACGCCGCGUGGUUGAGGAAGGUCUUCGGAUCGUAAAACUCGGUUAUUAGGGAAGAACAAAUGUGUAAGUAACUAUGCACGUAUUGACGGUACCUAAUCAGAAAGCCACGGCUAACUACGUG